ACAUGUGUGUACUGGACGACGACGAGUGGGAUGUGGAGCGUGUUGAGGUCGAGCUGGGACAUCCUGAGGAGGAGGAGGAAUGAGGAUUCCAAUGAUGUGCGCGUGGCCGCUGAUGCAGUCCUAGCAAAGAGACCUAGUGGACUGCUGGAAGCAAGCAAAGGCCACAGAAAAGGACAGGGUGUCGUCCCGCCUCCUCGAGUACCUCAGUACUCUUAUUAGACAUCUGGCACCUGAUAAGCUCGAUGACAUCGAGGAUAAAGUACAGCGUGUUGUGCGAAGCUUCCGGUAAGCAGUCUAGCUGUCCGAUCAGUUUCCCAUAUGGACGUUAUCAACCUGUCAGCUUUUGCUCAAAGGUGCUAUGUUAAUCAAGAGCUCAGUUGGCGUUAUGUUCAGGGUUGUCCGCGUCCUUUCGGUGUUGCGGUGUCGGGUGUAGCAGAGUUUAACGUUUUUAUAAUGCAGUUAAUAGCUAUAGCUUCGUAGUUUGUACUUGAUGUCGCUUCUCAGCCGCCACAGCCCGAUCCUAGGUGAUGCAGCUUUCCAGCUCACUACCUGUCUCGUCACGUCCUUUCAAGAAAACAAGCUGCGCAACCAGAAUCCAGGUGAGUUGAAUCCAGGUGAGUUAACAUCCCGAGAGAAGAGCCUCUUCAACUACAAACUUUCUGGAAGUCGUCGUGGAGCAGGCGUUCGGUAGGCAAGCUUCGGAGGCAGCAUUAAGGUGGAGACCAAGUGUCCAAAAAGCCAUUGAUAUCUCGUGCGCCGCGUGUGUCCUGCAAAACAUGUGUGUACUGGACGACGACGAGUGGGAUGUGGAGCGUGUUGAGGUCGAGCUGGGACAUCCUGAGGAGGAGGAUUCCAAUGAUGUGCGCGUGGCCGCUGAUGCAGUCCUGGCAAAGAAACCUAGUGGACUGCUGGAAGCAAGCAAAGGCCACCGAAAAGGACAGGGUGUCCCGCUUCCUCGAGUACCUCAGUACUCUUAUUAGACAUCUGGCACCUGAUAAGCUCGAUGACAUCGGGACAAAGUACAGCGUGUUGUGCGAAGCUUCCGGUAAGCAGUCUAGCUGUCCGAUCAGUUUCCCAUAUGGACGUUAUCAACCUGUCAGCUUUUGCUCAAAGGUGCUAUGUUAAUCAAGAGCUCAGUUGGCGUUAUGUUCAGGGUUGUCCGCGUCCUUUCGGUGUUGCGGUGUCGGGUGUAGCAGAGUUUAACGUUUUUAUAAUGCAGUUAAUAGCUAUAGCUUCGUAGUUUGUACUUGAUGUCGCUUCUCAGCCGCCACAGGCCGAUCCUAGGUGAUGCAGCUUUCCAGCUCACUACGUGUCUUGUCACGUCCUUUCAAGAAAACAAGCUGAGCAACCAGAAUCCAGGUGAGUUGAAUCCAGGUGAGUUAACAUCCCGAGAGAAGAGGCUCUUCAACUACAAACUGUCUGGGAGUCGUCGUGGAGCAGGGCUUAAAGGCAAGCUUCGGAGGCAACAUUAGGUGGAGACCAAGUGUCCAAAAAGCCAUUGAUAUCUCGUGCACCGCGUGUAUCCUGCAAAGCAUGUGUGUACUGGACGACAGGACAGGAGUUCGUGAAGGCAACCCAGGACACAUUCCACCUGACCCUGGGAGUGCAGUACCGCCGCGACCGAUGGGGCGAGGCGGCGCCGGAUCCUGCCGACCUGGAGGGCCCCCACCGCCAGUGCCGGUACCAAGCGUACCGGCACUUCGUGCUCUGGCAGUGAGGAGCCCUCGGUCGGGGGAACCGGCGCGCCCUGCCGGCCUGCGCCGUGACGGCCAUCAGGACCAAGUACCCGAGUCCGUCGGGGGAGUUACACGGGCUUCAAGGACGUGCCACUAUAGACGCACCACGGUCGGCGCGGUGACAGACUGGCCGAGAUCUACUUGGCCUUAACUCGGUGGAGAAGAGGCGGCGAACGUCAAGCUUCCGGUGUCAGUCACCAUAUGUGGUAAAGUUAAAGUUAAAGUUAGUCGAGUGUGUUAGGUAAUAACAUUUAACGAGUGAAACAUUGGAGCAUUGAGGUGAAGAUUGACCCCGUGUGUGUUUCUGUGCUAGUAAAAUACA